rnacentral:rRNA from 1 species
CAACAGGGAUGCCUAGUAACGGCGAGUGAAGCGGCAACAGCUCAAAUUUGAAAUCUGGCGCAAGCCCGAGUUGUAAUUUGUAGAGGAUGCUUCGGGGCAGCGGCCGGUCUAAGUUCCUUGGAACAGGACGUCAUAGAGGGUGAGAAUCCCGUAUGCGACCGGCUGGCACCCCACACGUAGCUCCUUCGACGAGUCGAGUUGUUUGGGAAUGCAGCUCUAAAUGGGAGGUAAAUUUCUUCUAAAGCUAAAUACCGGCCAGAGACCGAUAGCGCACAAGUAGAGUGAUCGAAAGAUGAAAAGCACUUUGGAAAGAGAGUUAAAAAGCACGUGAAAUUGUUAAAAGGGAAGCGCUUGCAACCAGACUUGUCGACGGUGUUCCGCCGGUCUUCUGACCGGUUCACUCGUCGUCGGCAGGCCAGCAUCGUCUGGGGCCGCCGGAUAAAGGCUUGGGGAAUGUGGCUCCUCCGGGAGUGUUAUAGCCCCUCGCACAAUACGGCGCGCCUCGGGCGAGGUCCGCACUUUCGGUAAGGAUGCUGGCGUAAUGGUCGUAAGCGGCCCGUCUUGAAACACGGACCAAGGAGUCGAUCAAUCGUGCGAGUGUUCGGGUGAAAAACCCUUGCGCGCAAUGAAAGUGAACGGAGGCGAGAACUUCGGUGCAUCGUCGACCGAUCCAGAUGUCUUCGGAUGGAUUUGAGUAAGAGCAUGGCUGAUCGGACCCGAAAGAUGGUGAACUAUGCCUGAAUAGGGUGAAGCCAGAGGAAACUCUGGUGGAGGCUCGCAGCGGUUCUGACGUGCAAAUCGAUCGUCAAAUUUGGGUAUAGGGGCGAAAGACUAAUCGAACCAUUAACCUACUAGGUGGUUAAUCUGUCGGACAAACGACACAGGCGGCACAGGGGCCGCCGACACCGUCAAAUUGCGGGGACGCGCUGAGCGUUCUCGCCGGCCGCCGCCCUCGGAAACGGGGUGUACGGCGCGGCGUCCCUAACGGGAUGGCCACACGGCCGGCGCGAAAUUGGUUGACCCGCAGCCAAGUCCGCAGUCGCAGGGGGCGACCCGGACGCAGUUAACAGACUCGACGUCGGUGGGCCGGCGCACGGGGCGUCGGCUUGAGAUAGAGUCGGUUCGGCCGCGAGAGCGACCGAGGA